rfam:Ovis aries breed Texel chromosome 18, whole genome shotgun sequence.
UCCCUGAUGGCUCAGACGGUAAAGAAUCUGCCUGCAAUGCAGAAGACCCAGGUUCUAGCCCUGGGUCGGGAA